UACGUAGGGUGCAAGCGUUAAUCGGAAUUACUGGGCGUAAAGCGUGCGCAGGCGGUUUUGUAAGUCUGACGUGAAAUCCCCGGGCUCAACCUGGGAAUUGCGUUGGAGACUGCAAGGCUGGAGUCUGGCAGAGGGGGGUAGAAUUCCACGUGUAGCAGUGAAAUGCGUAGAGAUGUGGAGGAACACCGAUGGCGAAGGCAGCCCCCUGGGUCAAGACUGACGCUCAUGCACGAAAGCGUGGGGAGCGAGCCGG
rnacentral:rRNA from 1 species